GUAAAAGCUGACGGUUUCAUUGAUUCUUUUAAUCGUUUCAUUGUUUCUUCUUUUAAUCUUUGCCUCACUUUACGUUUCCGUAAAUUAAAGCAUAUUGCUCAAUAAUCGGCCCUGUCGCUUCAAUUCCUUCAUAAAACAAGUUGUCUUUGGACUUCGACGUUACGGUCGUUUUUUUUCUUGUUUUUUUUUCACUCUGACGGGUGCAUCGCAUUCUGAGAUGGAUGCAGCAAAGUUAUUCUUCAAAGAGAUUGACGAUGCUGUCUCUACAUAUGAGAAAGCAGCAAGAGAGAUGAAAAGUGAAGUUGAGGGUCUUAAAAAAAGAGAUACAAGUCCUAGUUCCUUUAUUCGCAACCUUCUCUCUCAAGUGCAACACAUAAAGAAGGAGGUAAAAUGUGAAGUUGAAAGAAUGAGGGAGGAAGUAAAAGCAACUGAAGAACUAGUAAGAGUUGGGAGAGAAUGCAUUGUUAUUCCAACCAAUAUUUCAAAACAACUGUCUACUUAUCUGUCCAAGAAUGGAUUUGUAUCACCUGCUGAGGAUGAUGCACCAUCAGAGUCUGCAAUGAAAGGGAAUGACAUUGAAGUUAUUGAGCAAUCUCCUGAAGGCGAAAUGGAGGAAAUAUGUGAGAAAAAACAAAGCAAAAGAGUAAGAGAUGAAAAUGGAGCUCAAGAGGUGAAAUGUGAUGAUGAGUUGGAUGAAGAGCCAGCAGACUGCUCAUUGUCCUUCCUUCCUCAACUUGGAAAGUCAUCUUUGCAACCCAGGUCAGUGAAAUUUCAUUGGGAAUCAGAUGAAUCAGUGAACCUCUCUAAAAAUCUAAACUUUGACUUGGAAAAACCAUCAAACAAAGUACAAAAGCAGAAGAUUGUGGUUGAUCCAAUGCUCACACCUUCAACCCCAGAAUGUCUGAAAGAAUCCCAUCCUGUAAAAACGACUGCCCAUAAUUUUGAAGUCUCAUCGCUUGAACAAAAAGGUGAACCAUUGGUCACACCGCCAACCCCAGAAUUUUUGAAAGAGUCCCUUCUGGGAAAAACGGUCACCCAUGAUGCUGACGUCUCAUCACUUGAGCACGGGAAUAGGAGGUCUCCUCUGCUUUUGACACCCCGUCUGCCUGAAGCACUGCUGACAACUUUACCUCCAGAAUUGGACCCUGUUUCCUAACUUGAGGUAGGUGAUUUAUGAUAUCCAGGUGUUUUUUUUUUUUACUAUUUUGACAAUUUUUUAGUUUGGAUAAGCAAUGAGUAAAU
rnacentral:lncRNA from 1 species